GAUGAACGCUGGCGGCGUGCCUAACACAUGCAAGUCGAGCGAGCGGCGGACGGGUGAGUAAUAUGUGGGAAACUGCCUGAUGGAGGGGGGUAACUCCUGGGAAAGGUAGCUAAUACCCCAUACCAUCAGAUGUGCCCAGAGGGGAUCAGCUAGUAGGUGGGGUAACGGCCCACCUAGGCGUCGAUCCCUAGCUGGUCUGAGAGGAUGAUCAGUGACACUGGAACUGAGACACGGUCAAGGGUCCUACGGGAGGGAGCAGUGGGGAACAUGGGACAAUGGGGGAAAGCCUGACACAGCGAUGGGGCGUGUGUGAAGACGGUCUUCGGAGUGGAAAGCACUUUAAGUUGGUGUGCGUUACCAACAGAAGAAGCACCGGCUAACUACGUGCCAGCAGCCGCGGUAAUUC
rnacentral:rRNA from 1 species